AAGAAAUGAAUGGCUGACAAAAUUCCCCGCUUCAGAGAACAUUUAACAGUGAGCAUAUGGAAUAACUUUGUCAAAUGACCUGAAGAACAGUUUGCAGUUCUCCCACGGUCAGCUCGAUGUGUUGAAACAGGAGAGCGGCAAGUUCUGUGUGUGAAUCCAAGAUAACCUCGAGGGACAAUCAAGGCGGAACAACAUGGUUGUGGACGGAAUUGAAGAAUCUCCACAUGACACCUGGCCGGAGUCUGAGGACAAACCUACCAGAUUUCCCGGACUAAGUUACUAGCCGUUUUCCAGCCUGUACUGUUGCCUUUUUGGACCACUGUGUAUGACCUUCUGCC
ensembl:lncRNA